rnacentral:lncRNA from 1 species
UUGUCUGAAUAUGUAUAGGGUUUUGUUUGUGUUUGAGAAAGAGAAGCAAAUGGUUCAAGGGUGAUUCAUUUGCGUCCAUUGUCUGUUUGUAUUUAUUUAAUCAUUGAAUCAGUACAUUCAACAGACAUUUGCAUUUUAUUACUUGUCACAACAUGCAUUUUGUUUCGCAUAGUGCUUGAAAUUUCAGCCAGGUUAAUUUUUCGGAUCUACAGACAGAUCGGUCUCAU